UUCUUCAUAUUCUGAGGUGUUGGUUACCGAAUUGAGGGGGAGACAUCAAAAUAGAGGUUCAAGUAAUCGUGGUACAUUACGUGGUAAAUCACAAGGAGACUCUAAUAGAUUCUCUAAUAUUGAGUGUCAUCAUUGUGGGGUAAAAUGACACAUAAAAAGGUAUUGUCGGACUACAGUAAUGACAAAAAUGAAGGUAACAAUAAUGAAGAUGGUGUUAGUGUUGAUGAUUUAUUUGUUGUUUGUGAUAGUUGUG
rnacentral:lncRNA from 1 species